rnacentral:tRNA from 1 species
GCGGGCGUAGUUCAUCGGUUAGAAUGUCUCCUUGCCAAGGAGAAGGUAGAGGGUUCGAUUCCCUUCGCCCGCU